AGUGAACGCUGGCGGUAGGCCUAACACAUGCAAGUCGAACGGCAGCACAGUAAGAGCUUGCUCUUACGGGUGGCGAGUGGCGGACGGGUGAGGAAUACAUCGGAAUCUACUUUUUCGUGGGUGAUAACGUAGGGAAACUUACGCUAAUACCGCAUACGACCUACGGGUAAAAGCAGGCGAUCUUCGGACCUUGCGCUAUUGAAUGAGCCUAUGUCGGAUUAGCUAGUUGGCGGGGCAAAGGCACACCAAGGCCACGAUCCGUAGCUGGUCUGAGAGGAUGAUCAGACACACUGGAACUGAGACACGGUCCAGACUCCUACGGGAGGCAGCAGUGGGGAAUAUUGGACAAGGGGCGAAAGCCUGAUACAGCAAUACCGCGUGGGUGAAGAAGGACUUCGGGUUGUAAAGCCAUUUUGUUGGGAAAGAAAAACAGCACGUUAAUACCCCGCUGUUAUGACGGUACCCAAAGAAUAAGCACCGGCUAACUUCGUG
rnacentral:rRNA from 1 species